AACCUUUGCAAUGUGCGCAAGCACGACAAGGUUAAUCCGAGUGUUUCCUGCUAAAGGAAUCUUUUGUUAGUCUUAAAAUCACUAUUGAAUAAGGGGUGGGCAAGUUCUGGUGUCAGCCGCCGCGGUAAAACCAGCACCUCAAGUGGUCAGGAGGAUUAUUGGGCCUAAAGCAUCCGUAGCUUGCUCUGUAAGUUUCCGGUUAAAUCCAUUAGCUCAACUAAUGGCCUGCCGGAAAUACUGCAAAGCUAGGGAGUGGGAGAGGUAGACGGUACUCGGUAGGAAGGGGUAAAAUCCUUUGAUCUAUUGAUGACCACCUGUGGCGAAGGCGGUCUACCAGAACACGUUCGACAGUGAGGGAUGAAAGCUGGGGGAGCAAACCGGAUUAGAUACCCGGGUAGUCCCAGCUGUAAACGAUGCAGACUCGAUGAUGCACUGGCUUGUGGCCAGUGCAGUGUCGCAGGGAAGCCGUUAAGUUUGCCGCCUGGGAAGUACGUACGCAAGUAUGAAACUUAAAGGAAUUGGCGGGGGAGCAC
rnacentral:rRNA from 1 species